CACACAAGACAGACGUGUUCUCGCCGUCUACACAAGUUGUUACAGUAUCACGACAAUAGAAGAUAAUUUCUUGUCAUAGUGAAAGCAUGUAGUUGUUGUCGUCAAGGAGUUAUUGUCGUCAAACAAAAUUUGAACGGCCGAUUUUACUGAAGUUUUUAAAUCAAAAUAAGAUUUUCUAUAUGAGAUGACCCGCUACCGCAUGGACAAACACUGGCGCCGUUCUACCGAAGGCAUUUGGAUAUGAUUGUUCAAGGCUAAACUCGUAAAAGGUUGAAGAAGAGGCGUAUUUUAGAAGUUGAAAGAAAAAAAAAUCACAAUAAAGUGGAAGAAAGACUAAAAAAAUCACAAAUCAGUUGGUGUGCAAUAAGUGAGGAUCAUAAAUAAAUAUGUCAAGACAAAUUUUGUUGCUACUCAGAGCAAAUAUUUGAGGAUGGGUUGAGACUAAACUGACUUUCUCUAGUGUUAGUCACACCUGUAAACCAAUUUAACUGAUAUAUUAAUAUUUUCCAUAACUUAUGAAGAGAAAUUGAGAAAUAACUGCAAAUAAUUAUAUACAUCAGAUAGUAACAGUAUGAGUUUGAAGUUCUUACAAAAAUUGUUUAAAUUUACUUUCAUAACUUUAUUUUUAUUUAUUUUUCAUUAUUGAUCUAUUGAAUAAAGACCUUUAAGAUUUGUGUUGCUUUUUAUAAUGAUGGCAAAUGCCAUAAUUAAUGAAAUUAAAAAAAAAUAUGAUUAUUGGUUUGUGGGUGAUUCUCCCCUUGUCUGACAAAGUUUUCCCCUCACACUAAGAAAUGAAAGGAAAAAAAGUAAAACAAAAAAA